GUAGGGAAUCUUCCGCAAUGGACGAAAGUCUGACGGAGCAACGCCGCGUGAGUGAUGAAGGUUUUCGGAUCGUAAAACUCUGUUGUUAGGGAAGAACAAGUUGGGUAGUAACUGACCCAACCUUGACGGUACCUAACCAGAAAGCCACGGCUAACUACGUGCCAGCAGCCGCGGUAAUACGUAGGUGGCAAGCGUUGUCCGGAAUUAUUGGGCGUAAAGCGCUCGCAGGCGGUCUUUUAAGUCUGAUGUGAAAGCCCACGGCUUAACCGUGGAGGGUCAUUGGAAACUGGAGGACUUGAGUACAGAAGAGGAGAGUGGAAUUCCACGUGUAGCGGUGAAAUGCGUAGAGAUGUGGAGGAACACCAGUGGCGAAGGCGACUCUCUGGUCUGUAACUGACGCUGAGGAGCGAAAGCGUGGGUAGCGAACAGGAUUAGAAACCCCGGUAGUCC
rnacentral:rRNA from 1 species